rnacentral:rRNA from 1 species
AUUGAACGCUGGCGGCAUGCUUUACACAUGCAAGUCGAACGGUAACAGGCCUUCGGGUGCUGACGAGUGGCGGACGGGUGAGUAAUGCAUCGGAACGUGCCCAGAGGUGGGGGAUAACGCAGCGAAAGCUGUGCUAAUACCGCAUGUGAUCUGAGGAUGAAAGCGGGGGACCAGGCAGCAAUGUUUGGCCUCGCGCCUUUGGAGCGGCCGAUGUCAGAUUAGGUAGUUGGUGGGGUAAAGGCCUACCAAGCCGACGAUCUGUAGCUGGUCUGAGAGGACGACCAGCCACACUGGAACUGAGACACGGCCCAGACUCCUACGGGAGGCAGCAGUGGGGAAUUUUGGACAAUGGGCGAAAGCCUGACCCAGCAAUGCCGCGUGAGGGAAGAAGGCCUUCGGGUUGUAAACCGCUUUUGUACGGAACGAAAAUGCUCUGGCUAAUACCUGCAGAUGAUGACGGUACCGUAACAGUAAGCACCGGCUAACUACGUG